AUGCAAUUGGAGCACCAGUUCCCGGGAGGGCCGCAGCUGAAAUUGGAUUUCUUUCUGUGCGCUCUGCACCCCCGGAGCAGCCCCACUGCUGGGCUGGGCUGGGGGGGCCGGGGCCAUGCUGCUGUCCCUGGGGGCUCCCCGCGGCUGGGGGGGGGGACACGGGGCUCUGCUUCCCAGCCUCCAGCAGAUGGUAGCACACUGUCAGCUCUGCCAGGCGCAUCCCCAGCCCUGUCUGUCCCCAGCCCUGUCUGUCCCCAGCCCUGUCUGUCCCCAGCCGGGCAUCCCUCCCCCACUGCACCGUGCCCAGGCCUUGCUGGAUGCUGCUCCCCUCCAGCGCCCUCCAGCCCAGCCCGAGGGACCCCCGCCCGCCUCACUAACCCUCGCCCAUCCCCACGGCCCCCAUCACGCUGCUCGGGGAAGGCAGCUCUGGAGUCCCAGAUGGGGCCUCGUGGUUCCCCCCCCCCUGCAGCCACAGGGAGCUGCGUGGUCCCAGCCCCACGGAGGAGGCAGGAGGGGAGAGGGCCCCCACCCAGCCUUGCUCUGCGCAGUGCUGCCCGCUGGUCCAGAGCUUGCUUUGGAGGCGCUGGAGAAUUGUUUUCUCCUGGCCUGCCAGCAUUUGUUCUCUGCCCACUUCUGGCUGUGGUCUGGCACCUCCCUCUGCGCGCAGUGACUGUGGCAACGCGGCGCUGGAGGCGAGCGCUAGUCCCGAGCCCCAUCGGAGCAGGGCUGGCUGCCAGCACGGGUGCCUGGGCACACCCCACGCCCCCGCCACGUGCCCCAGUGCCAGCUCCUGCUGUGUGCACGGGGCACUCCCGCUGCCCCCGCGCUGAGACCCGGGGCACUCGAGCUCUCCGGGGCUUUGCCCAUCGCUGCCGCCCUGCUCUUGCCCCGGCCGUGCACCAGGACCAGGUGGGCUCAGUGCAGCAGCUCAGCUCCCUGCUCCCCCUCCACACCCCAGGGACCGCUGGCCCCAGGCCAAGUGUGUGGGCAGGGCUGGCCCAGCUCCAGCGCUCUUUGUUAUCUCUGGGGAACUCAACCAUUUCUGCACCUUAUUUACCUCCUGUUGCACAUGGGUGGAGGAAAGGUAAACACCAGCCUUUGUUCACCACCUCCCUUUUCCUUGAGCUUCCUCAUCCUCUCCCUCUCUUUCUUCACCCUCUGCUCCCCACCCAGACCCCGGACUGGAUGCCGUGCAGUGCCAACCCCUGGUCCAGCCAUAACGCUGCCAUCCCCCCUCCUCAGUGA
rnacentral:lncRNA from 1 species